UGGGGAAUUUUGGACAAUGGGCGAAAGCCUGAUCCAGCAAUGCCGCGUGUGUGAAGAAGGCCUUCGGGUUGUAAAGCACUUUUGUCCGGAAAGAAAUCCUUGGCUCUAAUACAGUCGGGGGAUGACGGUACCGGAAGAAUAAGCACCGGCUAACUACGUGCCAGCAGCCGCGGUAAUACGUAGGGUGCAAGCGUUAAUCGGAAUUACUGGGCGUAAAGCGUGCGCAGGCGGUUUGCUAAGACCGAUGUGAAAUCCCCGGGCUCAACCUGGGAACUGCAUUGGUGACUGGCAGGCUAGAGUAUGGCAGAGGGGGGUAAAUUCCACGUGUAGCAGUGAAAUGCGUAGAGAUGUGAGGAAUACCGAUGGCGAAGGCAGCCCCUGGGCCAAUACUGACGCUCAUGCACGAAAGCGUGGGGAGCAAACAGGAUUAGAUACCCUGGUAGUCCACGCCCUAAACGAUGUCAACUAGUUGUUGGGGAUUCAUUUCCUUAGUAACGUAGCUAACGCGUGAAGUUGACCGCCUGGGGAGUACGGUCGCAAGAUUAAAACUUAAAUGAAUUGAC
rnacentral:rRNA from 1 species